AUACACAAAGAUGAAGGGAUUUGAAAGAGAGUAAACAGUUUGCUUGUUAAUAGAAAGUUUUCUGUUCACUUGGUGCAUCAGAGUGUGUUCUUCGUAUGUUCAACCCACCGCCCUCCAGGAGGCUUGUGUGGGGUUUUAGAAAGGGAUGACAGGAUCAGAAAUGGUGUAGCAUACGAACAUGAGAGCUGCGCACCUAGAUAGACACGUGUUCACGAGCACACACACACAUGCCCUGCACAAUGCGACUGCUUGAACCUGCUCCCCGGGCUGCCUGUAGGCCCACCAACAUUGAAUCAUUAGCAGGCUCUAUUUUAAGGUCCAGGCCACAAGAGAGAACAUUUUCUAAAUUCUUGUUUUCAUGAAAUUUCAUUCUCCAAAUGUAAUAAUAAACAUUCAAGAAGAAAUCAGUAGGGAAACUUAAAAAUGUGUACAUAUCCAUUAAAACGAAUCUACUUAGACUUUAUUGACUCUGUGGUAUUGAAAUAAAGUUAAAAGAGUACUUUAAAUGUAUUUUGCUGACAGGAAAACUGAGUUGUUUGCGGGGAGAUUUUCACAUUAUUUAACUCUUAACUCCAGUGCAUCUACCGUGCAGCAUUACACACAAUGAGGGUCAAUGCAAGAUGUAUAUAGUUAUAGCGAUCAGCUCAUUGCUUCUGAACUGCUGCACAUAGUUUCAUCCUCCAGCAUCGGAUAACAUUGUGGAGGCUUACUGGGUGAACAAAGUGAAUUCAUUGAUUUAACUUUGUUACGGUGAAAAUUUCCGGCAAAAGAUGGGAUCGAUUCAAUCAGUCGAACCUUUAUGAUUAGGACAGCGAUGGUAUGAAAUCAAGCAGUUUUUUCAGGUGUCAAAUAUAGCUUAAAUAUCUUCAUUUUGGGACAUGCGGUUAAAUAUCAGUACAAUGCACAAUGAUAGGAAAUCAUUUUCCCCGUGAAUGUUUAAUGUUAGGAAACUGUAAAAAAAAACUUAGUGCUGUAGCGUUUGUUUUUUCCUAAUGUAAUAAAGCAGAAAAGUAAACCUUUUGUAGGGAUCAUUCCAGUGUGUUUUUAUCAAAUAUAAUUAAGACAACAUGGCUACCUCAUCCUCGCCAAUAUACUACAUAUACAUAAUAUAUACUUCAGGAAAAAUACUCUAUCGAAUAUAUUGUGUUGGGUGGCAGCACAAGAGGGAGAGAUGGAUUUAAGGAGGAGUUAUUGUAAAAUAAAAAAGGAUCAUUGGGAGAUGGGAUGAAGAUAGGAGCUGUGCAUGAAGUACAGAAUGAUUUACAGGGUGAAUAUUUAAAAUGUUACAGGUAUAAUGAAGUACUGUAAGAUACCGGUGUAAAUUAACCAUUAAUUUACAGUGUAAUAAUAGCUCAUGUGUUCAUAUUGGGGAGGGACGCACUAAAUUAAUAUCCCUUAUACGUAUACAGUUCCCUACACAGUUUGACCGCUGUUUCUUUCUCAUAAAUCAUUUUACAAAUAUUAGGCCACACACACUAACGUCCAUGGGAGAUAACAAAGUGUGUAGUGAGAUGGUGUGACCUACCCUCUGUUUAUGAGCAGACGUUAAUAAUUGUCAAAUUACAAUCACCUCUUGCAGGAUUUAAUAAUUCACAAAGACACAAUUCCCACUCACACACAUGUACACACACAGAUUUUCUCCAGGGGGAGCAGGAGCAGCAGCAUCCAGGAGGACCGGCUAAAUGAUCUCACUGUUGGCAUGGCGAUGGCCCGUUAGAAAAAAUAGCUACUCCUCCUCCCCAGCUGAGCUCCUCUGAGCUGCCAAGGACGAGAUCCGAGUGAAUGACUGAAUACCAUAAAAAGAGCGAGAAUAGCUGAAAACCAGGUAGGAACAAGACGCAGAUGAGGAAGAGAUGGAGCAGAUGCCAUGAUGGAUAAAUGAAGCAAAGACUAGAUGAGCAGCCGGGGAUUUUUCAUGAGCAUCUGGGGCUUGGUGAGCUUCAGUAACAUGAAGUAACUGAAAAUGAAAAAUAGUAUUAAAUGUUAAGUUUUGCUCCUCAUAGCAACAAUUGAAUUCGUUAUUAUAUUCAAACAUUCUAACAACCCACUCAACAAAUACCGAAGCUUCGUCUGAGGCCCUCGGCUUCAAACGACGACACUAAACCUCUUGGGUUGUUUCUGACUGAGACGGGCUGUCAAUUUCUGCUUAUUACGCAUAUGGUGCCUUUGCAAAAUAAAGUACUAUGUUAAUUUGCCUAUUAUCUGCAUGCACAUCGCCCCUGUCAGAGUAAACUAACGCUAACACUAACUUACUUUUCAAUUUACUUACACAAAAAAAUACUUGGUUACUUUUAUUAAGCAUCAAAACUAUUUGGUUAUGCCGAGGCAAAGUUGGUGGUUUGGCUUAAAAUGAAUAUUAAAAUGAUUAAAGCGAGCAUGUGCAAAUAUUUCUACUUCUCCAAUAACGUUAGUAAAGUCUGAAAGGUUAUAAAACUAUAGUAAAAUGACACAAUAUUGACUUUGUUUCAAACAGGACACCAACAACCAUCUCCUUACUAAAAGUAAUCUUUUUGUUUGACCCAGAUUUGUGAGUUUUAUCAUCCUCUAUACUAAUAAUAGUAUGUUGAUAUUUUCGGGUCUAACGAAAAAAAACACAUCCACAUGUCUCACUUGACAGCCAGUGUCAUUGUCUUCUUUCACUUUUGAACCACUUUCAAAUACUCAAGUAGAAAUGUUUUUCAACAUAAACAUAGUGAUAAUAUUGAAUCCACAGCACAAAAAUCCCAAAGAAAACCAGGUACCUGUAUUAGGCAACAAUUUAAAUAUAAUAUGUUCUGUAAAUACAAUGACAUAGAGAAUACAUGAUUGUUAAAGUGCAAACAAUAACCACAUAUACCUUUCUGUCUUUAAAUGCAGUUGUAAAGGCCAGUAACUUUUCUGCCAUAUUUCAGAUGCAAUUCCUUAUUUGUGAGAAAAGAAAUUUCAAUCUAGCUCUGUUAGUAAUGUUUUAUACGUGUAUGGAUUAAAUAACAUGCAUUAAAAAUACAUAAAUAUUAUCAAACAUUUGAUUUCAUUUGUACAUAGAAAACAUACUGUAUCCAAAGAUGUAGGUGCGGUAUAAAAUUUACGCCUGGAACACAAGUGAAAAAGCCGAACGAGGCGACCGAAAUAAACCUUACUGCAGUUAAGAGAAGUCAAAUAAGCAGCACUCGGCCACAGGUGGGAAAAUGCUUCAGGUUGGAACCUCAGAUGAUUGUACCCAUUUUCUGUAAUCCACAUACAUUAUCUUGUGAUUUAAAUCUCCAUGGAUACAGGUAGGAAUGCCUAUGCAGUCCAAAUUAAGCACUGGUAUAAUGCUUGCAUUGUUAUAAACAAGCAUGAUCACAGUGAGCUAUAUGGCACCCUACUAAAUAAUUACACACCUCAAAAUUCAAUCGCUGGUACGUGUGUGUGUGUGUGUGUGUGUGUGUGUGUGUGUGUGUGUGUGUGUGUGUGUGUGUGUGUGUGUGUGUGUGUGUGUGUGUGUGUGUGUGUGUGUGUGUGUGCGUGUGUGCGUGCGUGCGUGCGUGCGUGCGUGCGUGCGUGCGUGCGUGCGUGCGUGCGUGUGUGUGUGUGAAAUCAGGUUCUUUAAAAGGGUACUUUCUUGAUUGGAAAGUGCUGUAAGAACAGUUGGUUCAAUUACCCGCCUAUUACCUCACAUUCAGACUAAGUGAGGCCUUUCUUUGAUGUACUCUUAGUUCAGACUUCAACAGCAGCCUGCCUAGGGAACUAUUUAAAGACAAAGACAAAGAAAAGGCCUGUACUUCCUACCUCAUCAAAGCCUCCACAGCAACCCCCCUGUUUCUACCGUUCCGUUCCCAAGUUGCUGUUUCAAAUCAGCCAGUGUCGACUCUAUGAUUUUCCUCGUCUGUCUGUUGCUUUUGUAGAUAACUUCGGACCAAUCAGCAAGAGGAACCUCGUGUCUUCUUUACCCCAGCAGCUCAAAAAAAGUAAAAAGAAGUCCGCUCUGUGUCUCCUGUUUCUCUCCCCCAUCAGGAGUCAACUUUGGUUUGGCCUCCUUGUUCUACACUACUAAUUGGGUGGCAAGAUAACUGAUGGGUUGAUACAACUUUUCAACAUUUCUUUCGAGUGUGUGGAAAUUCAAACAUUAAACGUGGGGUGGCACUUUAGCCCGACGGACACUCGCUAAAGUCACAAAUGCGGCAAGCAUAAAUCAAGCUUUAUUGUGGAAAGGAUUUCAGAGGAAAAAAUCAUGCACUUUUAGUCAAGAUGAACCUUUAAUUUUUGACCAUUGAAUCAAAGCAGGAGGAGAAUUAGGAGGCAAUUUGGUGGAAACAUUUAAGCAAUAAUUACCGGGUUAUCAUGAAAGUCAGUUAAAUAUUUCUUACCUUGUUUACUCUUUGGAUUUGCAUUCUGAUGAUGCGACGCUCGGAGCCUUGUGUCUCAGAUUUGAGCAAAUAUUCUUUUUUCAUCCUCCAAAUGCAAAUGAAGGUCCGUGGAGACGGUGUCUUCAAACGGAGCCUUUUCUUGCUGCAUGCAUUACCUGUUGCGACACAUAACAAAGACUCUAUUUUCAAUGCGGUGAAGCAAAAAUUUAGAAUUUUGCUUUUAAAAAAAGUCCUCUAUAAUUGCUCUUCAGAAGGGAAAUUACAUUUUUUAACAAAGAGAAUUGCCUAAAACUCCACUAGCAACCCCUCCAGGACACGAUGUUAAUUACAUCACAUAAAUAAUAAAGUGUUGGAUAGAUAUUAAAUGAAUAACACACUGACCAUUUUGUAAUCAGUAGUAACUGGGAGUGAUGCAAAGAAUAUACAUGUUUUAUUGAGAGGCUAUUAAAGAAAAACAUUUAAUUACUCAAACAAUGGUAGCCUUGAGAAACAAUUUAAAGUAUGGUGAGAAGGCGAUGAGACAAAAAGAAAAAAAGCUAUUUCACAAAACCAUAGCAUUGUCUCUUUGUAUACCGGAUUUCUCUGGAUAAGACGAGGGACUAUUUCAAUGAAGAAGGGUCAACAAGAGGAGACCAUUUAAAGGAGGACGGACUUGACCGAAAGAAGGGAAGGAUGACACAAGUUGCUGGACAAUUACAUUACAUUACAGGUCAUUUAGCUGACGCUUUUAUCCAAAGCGACUUACAUUACAUUUUUAAUCCGUGGCUUUUUACAUUUUUGCUCGGGGAGCAAUUAUAGGUUAGGUGUCUUGCUCAGGGACACUUUCGACAUGGAACAUGGGGCAGUCAGGACUUGAACGACCAACCUUGUGCUUCCCAGCACACCCUCUCUACUCCUGCACCACGACGACCCCUUUAGCUGCCUUAAGACAAAAAAGUACAUAUUAUUAUUAUAUUAUAUUAUUAUUUCUUUCUUUCCUUACACAUUUUUCAUCCUCAUCUCUAUUAAACCCCCUCCUCCCUCGCGCUCGUCUUACCUCGUGCAUAUCUCUGUGUCUCCUUCUUGGUAUCUUACACCUCAAAUGGUGCAGAGACAGACUUGCAGUUCGCUUCAUCUACACCGCUUCCCGACAGACAGUUAUGUGCCCUGACGACACACAGGUGUGACAGUGCACUUGCAUGUAACUGCUGCACGCACACGCACACACACACACACACACACACACACACUGUCUGACGACUCACAGAGAUGUGCAUGGUUAUGUGAAAAGCAUUUUACGCACACAAAUGCCCAGUGGAAAGCUACUCAUCGUGUCACACACAUGCAUGCAUUUCCCCACACAUACACAAGGACCAGUCAUCUAUAUGUGCAGCCAAAUGGACCACCAAGUGCUGCCUCACCUCCCAUAAAGCUGCCAUAAGCCCUCUCCGCCUCUGACAAUCGACUGAUUGGUGUUAUAACAAGGCAGGUACUGCGUAUGUGUGUGUGUGUGUGUGUGUGUGUGUGUGUGUGGGUAUGUGUGUGUGUGUGUUUUCUUUGUAUGUGUGGACAAACCACCUCAUACUGCAGGUGUUUAAAUGUUAAAUGUUCUGCAGUCGAAUUAUCUUGGCCAAAGUGAUGCAAUUCCAUAAUAAUAAUAAUAAUAAUAAUUAUCUUCAUAGAUCUGUCAUUAAGACUUUUGUGUUGCUAGCUUUGGACUUUCUUCAAGGUGUCCUCACUUUGGACUUAAUCCCUCUAUAUCUGUCUCUGCAGGCUGUAGGAAUUGGGGCUCAUUCCGUCACCAUAGCAUGCCAAACUCACAGUGAUGGGCCCCUGCCGUUCAGGUGGUAUCCAAAAGGAAAAUGAUCGAAUAGGGGACGCUAGGUCCAAGUAUGCGGGUAGCCCUGGAAAAACAUUUCUUUAUUCUUUAUUUUAUUGUUUUGUGCAUGAGGAGGCUGUUGCCACUAUAAUAAUUAUAGGCUGUACGUUAGAGUGCAACUAGCAUUUGUUUAUUAUGUUCUAUACUCUUUGGAUAUCCAUUAUUCAAACAAUUAGCAUUUUAUUGAUAAUUUACAGGCAAGUCAUCAAAUGUAGACAGGUUUGCAAUACAAUUCGAGUAAGAAGGCUUUGAAUUGUUAAUUAAACCGCUUGACAUGACGUCAACACUUGACAUCAUCACAAUGACUGGCUUUUGCUUAAAAUAUCCGAAUCAAUAUAAGAGUAAAUUCAAGUCCUACAUAAUUUUGACAGGAUCACGAGUAGAUCCCAAAAUACAGGAUAUUCCAUUAGAAAGAAUUAUAAGCUGAAAAGCUGUUCAUUGGGCAUUCUGUUAAUCAAUAGGACCACAAAGAAUCAGGACAGGAUGGCUGAGUGGUCCAAGGCGCUGCGAUCAGGUCGCAGUCUCCUCUGGAGGCGUGGGUUUGAAUCCCACUUCUGACACCAACCUAUGGGGCGUCAGUGGCGCGUGGAUAAGGUCCUCCGGGAACCGCACAGUUGGUGAUUCGUAAAACCCCGGCUCCUCCACGUGUCCCUGAGCAUUACUCUAAACCUCUAAAACUGCUCCCACUGAGUAGGAUGCGUUAAAUGCAAAGAAUGAUUUCAUCAAUAAAGGACACUUUCUAUUUCUUCUUAAAAAAAAAAUCAUAUAAUCGGACAUUAUUUUUCAUUGAUAAUGUUUUUUGUCUUAUGACCUGUGCUCAUAAUUUCUCACUGUUCUACUUGUAAAGGCUAGGGUUCGCCCCCAAGUGCAUGUAUUUGCCGAUAAAUUAUUGGACCAAAAAUAUUCUACCCACUUAUUAACUGCACAGAGGGGUUACCUUAUUUGUGGUAAAUACGAGAGUAUUUACCACAUGCCUUUGCUGCCAAAAUGCGUUCUAACAAACUUUAAUAGGGUCAAGAUAUAUUUUAUAUAAGAACCUUGCUCCUUCACACACACAUUAACAACCUAGAGAUGUAAAUUCGUAUUCUCUUUCCUUUGCUCCUAUUAUAAAAUGGUUGCACUCACUCUUACUGCCUGCCUUUCACUCUUUCUCUUAACAGCCUCUCUCAAGAAAAAAACCCAGAGACCCACUCAAUCGCAGCGGCCCACAGCAAUUGCAGUGCUCCCCAGUGUGGACAGCUCCAUCCAUUGUGUGUGAAUAAUAUCCAAGGUCACUGUGUACUCAGAGGGUGAUCAUAAAAAACAUACUGCUUCUAACCACAGGCCCGAGCACUGAAUUAGACGGAUGCUGAGAGACAGAAGCACAGAGGUAGGAGGUCGGUUUGUGUGUGUGUGUGUUUGUGUACCAUGUCGGUGGACAUGCAGAUGAAUUAGAAACAAACAGUUUGGUCUUAAACUGAGCUCCAUUCACAUAAUGCGUUUUAGAUCACCUUUAAAUACAAUAGUCACUGAUGUUUACCUGUUAAAAUGGGUUAUUUGACAUUUUGGGAAAUAUGCUGUUUGCUUUUAGAUAAAUAAAUCCAUUGUCUCAUUUUGAAUUCAACUCUCUUACCGGUCUAUUAAAAAUAUGAAGCAAGUCAGCAACCCGGUGACCUGCUACCCAUUGCUAGUGUACCAAUAAACAUCAUAACUGACUGUAUGUUGGUCAUUUUAUGCUUCCAUUUCUAUACAGAUUAGACAAACAAAAUGCGGCACUGAGAAGGCAAAUUUGUUUUUCAUGGGUUUUGUUACUCUUGCUAUUUCCUCUUGUUUCCUGGCCAAGCUAAGUUGUGCUUGCUGCACCAUGAACUAUACUACAAAAAGGGUAUUGAUCUUCUCAUCUAAGACUCAAAAGAUAAAUGCAGAGCAGUGUUGCUGUGGUGGCAUUUCACGGGGGUUCAGCAGUCGACAGGUAAGUAAGAAAGACACGGCGUGCCAGAAUCACUAUUUAUUUAGUUUGGACCAUACAGGCUUUUUACUGGUUUCUGGUACACACAUAAAUAUAUAUAAGACUUGAGGCUGUAAUUGCUGCCAAAGGUGCUUCAACAAAGUAUUGAGCAAAGGCUGUGAAUACUUAUGUACAUGUUAUGUUUUCGUUCUUUAUUUUGAACAGAUAGGCUGUAACAUAACAAAAUGUGGAAAAAGUGAAGCGCUGUGAAUACUUUCCGGAUGCACUGUAGGUCGACGCAACCAUUAUGUUAUUGUAAAACCUCAAAUGAAUGCUACAAAACGUGUUCUAUAAAGAUGUAUGAAAGGAAAAUGCUGUAACAAUAUGCUAGUCACUCAAGAUAAAUUAAGACACAGUGCAUCCAAUCCUAAAGACAUGAGAGUUGACCAUAUUACAUGUAGUUAAUUUACUGCUCUCUCAUCCUUCCCCCCUUUAUACACCAGACUAUGUGUUUAAUCAACAUCAAACCAAGAGAAAGAACCCGAGGCACAAAAUGCUAUUUAUAUGAAAUUUAACAUGGAGCAUCAAGGUCACUAUUUCUGCAGAAGACUAUGAAAUGUUGACUAAUAACUAGAAAGAAAAAACACUGGACAUUGAUUUAAGAUUAAUUUCAGAUUAUUUAGCUUGACAGGGUUCAAAUCCAGUCUGUGGCGAUCUUUCGUUAGUUAAAUGAAUUUCUUAAGUGGCUGUGAGUCCAAACAGAAUAUCCCCUUUUGUUCAAAUGUUGGUGCAAGGCUGCAGCCUCGCGACAAAGUAUCAAUACACGUGUUUGGAUGUGUUCCACGAGACGCCACCAAAACGGUUGUCUUGAACCUAAAGGUUUUCUAGCCGCUGACGAUGUACAAUUUAAUCAAAAGUAAAGAAUACAGCAGGAAAACGUAAUUAGCUUGAGUGCCUGACAGCAUUGAGCAGCCGCCAUAGAACGUAUUGUUAUUUUGCUCGACGGGGUUUGAAUCCAGGUAGUGGCGAUCUUUUAAAAAGUAUAUUUUCUUCAAUGUAUCUCACGUGGCAGUGAUGUAGUGCUCACUUAUACAAGCGUAAUCGCUGCAAAGGAUAUGUGAUGCAUUUUGAACAUUCAAUAUGUUUGCAAAUGUGCGACGAAUCAGGUGACAGAGGAGGCAGACAACAUCUGCUGCUGUUAGAAGAACACAAACACACGCGUGUAGGCAAACCAGUAGGUUCAAAAACCAGUAGGGACGUGACAGCGGCGUUGGGCGGGGCCCCUGAUCUCCUCCGUCGCCCUGCCGUGAUUGCUGCUCGUCCACCACACCUGUCCCGUCUGCUCAGCUGCCGCUCUCUGCCAUAUCGUUGUGAAACCCUCAGUGUUGCACACUUUAUUCAGAGCCGCGCCAUACGAACUAUGCUGGGUAUUUUCAACUGUGUUGCAACUAUUUACCUGUCUUGUCAUUGGCUAAUGAGUCAAGCCAAACACCGGAUUUGUAAUCAGGGUACUGGCGUAAAAGUGGUUUUGUUUGCCCGACCGUCGCUGUGUCUCCAUCAAGUGUUGCCUUUGGCCUCAACACUCAACACUAAACGACUGAGCGAUAGCAACUAGCUGGUGAACGUAGUCGAGUGUUUAACAGCAGAAGCUGUUCAGCCAUCUGCCAAAGCCAUAGUUUUUGAAGGUUCAAUGUGUUCAGCAUGUCGUUUAAGCGAGAUAAAAUGCUUUAGUUAAGCAUGUCUCUUUAACAAGUUGUGUAGCUAUUUGCACUACCGUGGAUUCAGUUUAUGUUUUUGACAAGAUGUAGGUGACCAACUCAGUGUUUACCUUGAAGCAUAAUUUUGGACUGAUUUUUGAGCCAAAUGUGUUGUUGCCAGUGCAUGUAUUUAUAUUUCCAUGAGCCAACACAGCAGCGAAAUAAAAACAGUUUUAAAAUAAUCAAAAAUCAGAAAAGAUCAAUUAAGUGUAAGAUUCUAAACUAAGUUAAUAAACUGGGGCAGUUUGUUAUAUGCUCAAGGUUGUCUUUAAGCAUGUACUCCAUGCAAUCUGUUUUAUGCAAAUAAAUAAUUGUAGCUCCAUAUUUUUUCUCAAUCACCACAAAGGAAGUCGGGUUUUUAGAUUCUAGGACCCUGGCUCGGGCAACACAGAGAGACAUGAGCGACUUCCUUGAUGAUUUUCCUUACUUUUUAAAAUAAGGAUUUUCUUUUUAUUUCCGUUUUUGUUUAGUUGUAGUCCAGAAUUGCACUUUAUUCAGUGUUUACAGUUCCCUUUUUUUCUGUGUGUGUGUGUUUGUGUAUGUGUGGCCUGCUUCCCUUUGGGUUCCCCAUGCACCUAAACGUAAUUAGUGUGUUCUUGGUAAUGUCGUCUAAUGGCUUCACAGGAACACUCCGAAAUGCUGAUGAACAUCUGUUUGCCAGAGAACUCACACACACACACACACACACACAGAGCCUCUCCAUCUCUCCAUUCCCCGAUAGUAACACACUUCACUCAGCCUGCCGUCCAAUCAACAUUGUGUGUAUUUAAAACGAUGUGAAGGAUGUUAAUGUCAUGUACCUAAGAGGAGGAAUUCAGUCCAAAAACUCCAAACACCUGUAAUUACAGAAAUAUCUUUGCAUAACAUUCUGCAUUACACAGCAGCUUUAAUUAGCAUUCUAAACAGUCCCAUGGCUCAAACACAGACACACUCAGGAUUUUCAAAAUUCUUCCAGUUGUUUAUCCCCAAAAUGAGGACAAAAAGUGCUGGGGAGAGUUUUAUGCUGGACUUUUUUUUAGUACAUAAAACAAAACAAAACACACACAAACAAACCAACCUGAGGAAUUUAUAACAGGUCAAUGAUAACAUGCUUCCCAUUUACAUGAGAGCAGAUGGCUUGUUAGGAGAUGUGUGUGUGGUCUGGUUGCAGUUUCCUUCCAAGGUCAUAGAACAUCUUAGUGUGUGUGCGUGCGUGCGUGCGUGCGUGCGUGUGCGUGUGUGUGUGUGUGUGUGUGUGUGUGUGUGUGUGUGUGUGUGUGUGUGUGUGUGUGUGUGUUUGUCUGGCAGAGACCCAACCUGCUAUCAGUGUCGCCCCUUCUCUUGGCAACGGAUCCACUGACUAGUUGAGGAAGCAGUGAAUUUGACUCCUCCUCCACUCCUUUCCUCCCCCUCUUCCUGCUCUCUGUCUUGCCUCCAUCACUCUCUCUCUUCUUGUCCUCCCGUCUUUCUUUCAAAUGUCAGCGAGGAACCGGAGGGAAAAGUGUGCAUGUAUGUGACCAGUCAUAGUCAUGUUGAAAAUCCAACAUGUUAAGAGGCACCAAUACCGACCUCUCCUGCGUUACUGCUCAACUGACAUUCAUUUACGGUUCUCCUCUUCCCCCCAGAUGAAGUGACGGUGGGAUGGAGUGAUGAAGAAGAAGGAGAGAGGUGCCAAGAGAGGGAACCAUCUGACGGCAAAAGCUCCAACAAGCUGCCUAAUUGGGCACAAGAGGCAAAAAAGAACUUUGGUGGCGAAACACUUCAAAACACUUUCUAAUACCGUGUAAACACAUCCAGGAGGGGAGCAUACCAGCGUGUGAGUAGUUAUGCACACUCGUACAGAGACGCGUGUUUUCACGAAUGCAGAACAGAGGCACAGAAUGAUGGAGUCAUCUAGUUGAACACAGCAACUACUUUAGGAAACACAAAAAGCUGCACAAACCUCAGGCCUGUUGACGAAGGGCAGAGUGUUACGAUGCAGUGAGUUGGGGGAUUUGUGUCUUCCAGUAACACGUGUAUUAGCCUCCCAGCACAUACACCGGCACACAGAGAGACACACUGACUUAAUAUAAGAGGAGUCCCUCAGAACUCAAUGCAUUAUUUAACAGCCGGACAAGGAUAGCCUCCAGAGCGAGGGCGUGUGUGUGUGUGUGUGUGUGUGUGUGUGUGUGUGUGUGUGUGUGUGUGUGUGUGCGUGUGUGUGACUCUCCUUUCCCAUCUAUAAAUACACCUGCAUCUGAGAAUUCUCGUCCGUCUCUCCCUCUUCACUGGAACUUUUGAACUAUACAGCGUUUUAUCCAACGUUUUAAAUAUUUUCCAACUUCCAUCUAAAUGUCACCUAGCAUAAAAGCAGAAUUCUGUAUCAUGGGACAUUAUGGGGAGAGAGAGAGUGAGUCUGGGUUACUGACUGCUGUUUCUUAUUCAAAACCAGUCAAAUGAAAAUCAAAAUGGUUUUCUCACAUGUGGAGAGAGGUGAUUUUACCUGUGCCUACCUGUGAAACGGCCUCACAAAUGAUUGAGCGGCUUAAAGAGGAAACCCCAUCAAUGUCAUGUUUCUACUGCGGAAUGAACAGUUCGCACCAGCGUCGGGACGUCACUGUGGCAGUGAUCGUAGAUCACUCAGCCUGUGGAUAUGCGGUUGAUCUGAAAUAUCGUGACACUCCAUAUUAUCAAACUCAUCCUUUCACGCCACUGAAAACCCAACUCAACAAAAACUGACCACACGGGCCGUCCUCUUUCCAUCCCCCACACCCAUUCUCACCGUUGUCUUCGGGGACCAGGUCAAAUAAGACCGUAAGAAGCGCACCGCAUUCAGGGAAAGGUAAAGAAAUAUACAUUUUCCCUCUGGUCCUCUCGCUCACGUUGUCAGACACACAAUCGGAGCCCUUCGCUGGCAACCACAAGCACUUUGGGUGGACUUACAUUGACGAUGAGAAAUAUGAAAUGGGUAAAAUAUAAUAUAUUCCGGGUAUUUCUGGGCAGCGUUUGAGCCCCACAUGACAGGGCGCCCAGCUAUUUCAGUCGGUCAAAUACUGCCACUUUGUCACACCCCUUGAUAUUUGAUACCGAGACACAAGUAUUACAUCCGUGGUCACAGGGUCCAUUUUCAGCUCCGUCAGAUGUAAAGGGGCCGUAUUUUACGGAUGAGAAGGAGUUGUUACAUCGCUGUCUGUUACUUCGUGGAUGUUUUCCGGUGUUUCCCACGCUGCUCUUCUUUUCCGCAGUGUGCAGAAUGCUGCUAGAAGUGUCUUCAAUUGACUGACAGUAGUGAUGAGCCACACACAGCUGCAUAUAUUCAGAAUUUCUGAUUUACUGCUUUGUUUUUGUUAACUCGACCCUGGGUCCCUGGGACCUCUCUCCAUCAAAGUGCCAAAAGUGUAAUUUUGUCUGGGUGAGAUACAAGGCUUUGUACCUCCAGACUUGCUCCUUGUAUAUGGUCAGUAUCUUUGUCCCAAUGUUCAAAAAUACCUAGGAAAAAUAUUAGCAUAGAACUGAAGAUUUAAAUGGUUUAAAGGUUUGAAAAGAAUAACAUUAUUACAUUACAUUACAUGUCAUUUAGCGGACGCUUUUAUCCAAAGCGACGUGCAAUAAGUGCAUUCAACCAUAGGGUACAAACUCAGGAGAACAAGAAACAAGAAAGUGCAAUUUCCUCAAAUAAGCCAAUUUACAAUUUGCUAUAGAUGAGUGACGUUACAAGCACAAUUUAAGUGCUACAACAUGUUAUAUAUAUAUUGAGUGUGAUUAUGUGUGGUUAAUAAUUUUCAAACCUGACUUGGAUAAACAUUACAUUAGCAUUCAUACGUGAAAUGAAAAGAUGAUUAGGGCCACAACUUAACCAAGGCCUUAAAAAUAAUUCUUCUGAGAUAAACGUAUGACAUUGGCUGGUUCAUCACAGCAUUCCAACUCUCAAAGUCAACCCGGUUAUAAUAAUAUGAACGUUUUUCUCUUAAAUUCUGCCAUUUUCUGUUGUCUUUUCAGGGCCUUUCUUCCCAAUAUUGUUUUGGCAGCUCGACUAUGGCAAGCGUGUUUUAUUUCCCCCUGUGGCACUUGGUACCCUACGCACACCACAUGAUGUGCAUGUACAUUGUGCGUUGUCCUAGUUCUCAAUCACCCGAUUGUGGUACCAGUAGACCUCAUCAGCCAAGCGUCAUCUGGUUCAAUUGCUUUCAAGAGAAGAGAGACAUUUCUAUUGCCAAUAAUGAUAACACUUAUCAUCUCACACCAAAACAAACUAGGUUGGUAAAUUGCAAUGCAGGUAAGAGAUGAAAUAAGUCUUUUAAUUCUGAGGUGAAAUGUCCCAUUACAUUUCACUUCUGGAUAUCUCGCUGCCCUUCUAGGGUUUUAAGUUCUGGCCGAGCUUCCCUCCUUGACCAAAACAAUCCAGCACACCGUCUGCAGUCUGAUGAUACAACAUAUAUAAUGCUAUUUAAUUUUUCCAAGCAAAACAAUUCUGUCUUAGAAUAUGCUUAGUAGCAUUUCUUUUGUUCCACAGAAUCUGAACCUGACGUCUCCAAAUCGAAAACUUAUUAGCCACAAGCACACAGCCACAGUUUUAUCAACUGGUUAUCACAGGUAAAGUAGCGCUCAGAGUACUAGGUGCAGUUGAUUUGUCUUUUGGAGAUAAUGUUUCCAUUUUGUUUUAAUAGUGUCAUAAUAGGGGCUUCCACACAAAGUUCUACUUUCUAGUUCCGCUAGAGCAGGGGUCUCAAACUCGCGGCCCGCGGGCCAAUUGCGGCCCUCGGGACGAUAUUUUGUGGCCCCAUCCUUAAUAUGAAAGUGUAAUGUUAGUGCGGCCCGCAAGUUUUAUACUGUAACCCCACUGUCAGCUGCUGUGUGGGACAUGUUAUGAUGUUCUGGUUUCCUACUGUGUGCUUGUUCAGUGAACGUGGCAUGCAUGUGACUGACAUGGGGGGCGGGUCGUGUGUGUCGGCCGAGGUGCAGAGAGCACGAGGGUGAAAUUCAGUUUCCUGCCCUCUUUCGCGCAGGUGAUCAUGUGACUAACCGUUAGCAUCGCUCGUUUAAUAAAGUUUUCCUUUACGACUCACACUAACAACACAUGAAGCAUCUGACGUCACCGACGAGCGUCUCCGUCCAUUACUACGCAGCUUCGAUUCACGUAACUUCACGUUUGGCUAUAAAGGAAUUCCACGGUCACAUGACCUUAGGUCUCCCCCGCUGAGUUAAAGGAGGACUAGUGUUGUAGUCUCAUUCGGACCGAUCCCCCAGGGUGGGGUUCAAUGACUGCUUUUGAAAGUGAGUGUUAAGUUGUGUUAUUGUCGACCAUGCCGUUCGGACGCUAGUCUGGCCCGCGUUCGGUUGAAGUGGGCUGCAUCUGGCCCGCAGCUGAUUUGAGUUUGAGACCCCUGCGCUAGAGCAAUCUUAGUUCUUAACAGAAAUGUCUCAACAGUUGUAUUAGAUAAAGUUAACCAACCAGCGAAGAGAUUCAAUCAGAACAAUUAACGCCUCGAUUGCACUUUUAAACUCAGUAACAGACGGUGACAAAUAGAAACAAUUUAUUGAAUGUUCCACAGAGUCGGCUAAUUGUUCUUGUUGUCUUUUUGUCAGGUAAGUACAUGAAAAUGAAUCUAAAUGGGUUCAUCAUGGCUACAGUUAAGAUGUGAGAUGUUCUAAAGAAUAAUGUGUUAUCUCAAAAUGGUUCCUAAUAUCUUCAAACCGGAUCCAAAUGUGUGUGAUUUCGGGAAAUACGGUAAAAUGGGAUACUCACAGUAGGUUUUUAAGAAACCUUCAAAAGGAGGAACUCUGUGACCAGAGUCUGUCACCAGCAUCUUGUCGAAUCUAGAAUAUUUCAUGCCGUUCCUAACAGAAAAAGGAAUCGUAUCUUGGGCACAAGAUGUACUUACUGAAAUUGACUUUGAGUGCAGAUGAAUCGAUGCUGAUUAUUAUAACCGAUGAACGUGAUGCUCAAGUUACAUCGUUCUGAAAGUCCCUCCUUCACAUGAACAACUAUUUGUUAAGACACACACCGGUAAUUAGAACAAAAACACACUUCUACCGACUUUACCUGGACUAGUUAGCACUUUAUUAGCACUUGCAAUGGCCCUUAACUUUGCACGUUUGUAAUUUGCCAUCCUUGAAGAAAUUGUGCUCGCUUGAUUUUUGUUGUUCAGGUUUUAUAUCCUCUUGUCGCUUUGGACAAAAGCGUCGGCUAAAUAAAAAAAUGUAAAUGUAAUAAUGUCUUUGAACGGAAAGUAUCGAAAGAACGCCUCGAACAAACCGUUAAAUCAAGAACAUUCUAGCGGAAGAUCAGCCACGCCGAGGUCAAUGAGACGUCAAAACACAAGUCUAAAGAAAGGGAUUUAAAAAACACACACACACAAAGGACACAUGCGAUGGGAACAGGCUGUUUAAUUGGGAAGCACAGCUGCACUUGAAAAAUCUCAUUGUCCAGCAGUCGACAAAAAAAAAGAACAGAUUUUCAACAGGGAAGGGUUGUCUUAUUGUCCUUUUUCCUCCAUCUAUUUCUCUCACCUUCUUUUCCUUCCAAAUCUGACGUUACAGGGAGCUUGUAAAAAGAAUCAGAACUAAUUCAAAAUGCCCAAGAGUCUUAAUGGGCAACUUGAUGGCUAUAAAAAAUGUUCCAUCUUUCUUCUUGUCUGUCCACACCUACGCAAAAAUGGCUGCAUGUACAGCAAGUGAAUAUUGCAUGUAGCCGCUCAGAGAGCCUGUGUUUUUUACAGGGCAGUCUGGUGUGUGUGUUAACAGACCGCUUUUGAAGCCUCACUGUGCUCUAUUACAGCACAGUAUGCAUGAAGCCAAACAAACACCCCGGGAAUAGGUGAAGCAAACAGGAGCUCAGUGCCCUGCGACCAUUUAAAUCACAACACGGGCUCUGUGCUGUGUGUAUGUGUGUGUGUACGUGUGAAGGAAUGGGCUACUGGAGGUUAGCACACAAUAAUUCCAACAACUCGAUUAAGCGGGAAAAAACGUGUGUGUUUUAGUGUAAUCACAGGAGAAUGUAGGUGAGUAAAUGGAUCGCAGGCAAAAUUGCAUUCAUGACUUAAAUAGCAUCUAUUUUUCUACGUUUGGCAGACGUGCUGCGGCCAGUGAUUCAUCAUCCUCCUGCAGCCGACGAGAUGAGACUCUGUCCGUCAGCUCCAUUGUGUCGGGAUAACACCCUGAUAAUUAUCUGCACGGCUGCUCUCCUCUUCUCUUCACGCCUCACGUCUGAGUGGGAAAGACAAAGAGCAAGUUUGUAAAAGGGCCUGAAAACUUAGUUAGGUGGUAAGGACGUGGAAAGAGAAGGCGACAGUCGGGGGGAGGGGGGGGGGGGGGUUAGGGGAGGGGCAGGCAGUCGAGCAGACAGAGGAAAAGAGAGGAAGGAGAAAUGAUGAUGAUGAGUGUGGAUAGGCAGGGCGAAUUGAAUCUUUUAAUCUCCCAAAGUGGGAAGAAAGCGACCCGAGGCAUUUGUGAUUGGAUUUACUUUAAGUCCACAAGUAGGUCAAUAGAGCUAGCGUUGCUCAUUAGCAAAGAGGGAGGAGAGGCGUUGGGAGGAGAGCAAGGAAAAAGUUUUGUGUCGAUACAGUGAGCAUCAUUCAUUCGCCCUUUUCUCCUCAGAAGGGGGGGGGUGAAGUUUGGCUGUGUGGCUUUUUGUUUUUGUCAGUCUGAAAAGGGUACUUGAGAAGAAGGCAGCAACUAUAAUAUAAGUCUUGCAAAAGGGCAUUUACAGUUAAUAUCAAUCAAGAUUCUGAUUUCUGAAACCGAGAGGCCUUGAUCAGCCAAAUGAAAGCGACCUGAGGUCAGCAAAGCAGAAAAUACAUGAGGCUGCAUUUGAAAUUCUCAAAAUGAGAAUGGCUGCGUGGCGUACGGAUGAAAGCAUCUGGUUUUGGCAUUUGGCUGGAUAAUAAAGUAUAAUAAUAGUAAUAAUAAGUGCUAAAAGCUUUGUGUAAUUCAUCUUUCCCAGAUUUCCUUCUGCACAAUUAGAUCCUGUUACUAAAGCAUAAUUAGCAACAGGAUGCCAAAGGCAAUUGGAGAGAGGAAGAAACAAGGUGGCAGAGCUGCGGGAAUCAAUGAGAAGAAACUAAAAGGUUAAGUUGAGUGGGGCACAGUUUGUAUGGAAAUGUAUGGUAUAAAUGCCAGGCACAACAAAUUUUUAUAAAACAUUAGUUGUCCCUGGCUGAGCAUUACAGGGCUUUAUCCAAAUAUUAUUCUAAUAUCAUCUUUUAGCUGUUUACAAUAUGAAGUUAAAAACUCAAAGCCUCAAAGCCACGAAUGGAUGACUAAAGCUGCCAAACAAACCCGAUCUUGUGCCCUAGAAAGCGAAACCCAAACACUUCCCUUUGGUUUAUUAAAAGGAGUAGGACAAUUGGUUGCCAUGCCACAUUGCAUUCCGGGUAUUUUGGAGGCUAAUUUGGCAUUAAUCACUGGCCACUCUCCAAACAACACGCCCACCAACACUGACACAUUUAACCAACAAGAUGUUGCGCAUUAACGAGUGAUCUUUUACCUUCUGGCCAGAGCUUUUCCCCCUGCUUCCAGUCUUUAUGGUAUACCAAGCUCACCAGCUCCUGGCUUUAGCUUCCCAUUCAACUCAUGAGUAAGAGUGACAUUGAUCUUCUCAUCUAACUGCGAGCAAGAAGGCAAAUCAGACUGUUCGCCAAAAUGUUGAAGGAAACCGUGCGAACGUCAACUGAGAUGUGUGAAUAGUUUUCUACACGUUGUCGCGUUGGCAAAACCAGUGUGUAAUUAAACACAGUUAGUAAUCAAAUGGUUUACUCUGAAGCAAAAAAGAGGUUGUAUCAGAGUAUUGUUUUUGGUACAAAGCAUAAAUGUAGAAUAUAACAUUUAUUCGUUUGUUUCACGAAUGGUUAAUAAGUGGAUUUAAAGACCGAUUUUUCUCAUUUCCCUUCUAAAAGAUUUUACAAUGAAUAUCAAGCUUGAUUUCCCUGUUUAAUCGCUUUGUUUACAUGUGUUACUUCCAUGAAGCAAAUUAAAUGGCAACAUUUACAAGACAAUACACAAAUAAAUGAUCCAAUGGAAAUUAAGCACACACACACUUGCACACUACACGAUGCACAUCUACACAAAAUUCUGCACACACUUUUAAGAACAUAUCUGUUAAUUUACACACACACACAGACACACACACACACACACACACACACAAUGUCGAAGGAGCUGAUGCUGAAGAAGCAGUGGCGGCCUUUGGGCUGAGGAAAAUGAUUGAUGGAAGAGAGUUGAUGACUGUGUUGGGUGGCUACUCCCUCGCUUUCAUUCUCCUUCCUACCCCUCCCCAUCACUCUCUUUGUCCCCGUGUCUCUCUGUCUCUGUCCAUUCCCUCCGUCACCUUUGUGUCCAAGUCUUCCUCAUUUUCUCCGGUGAUGAGUGAUGGAGGGAGGAUCUGCCAUGCCUCCCCUCGUCCUCCCUGCCGUACAUUGUGUCAGCAUCUCCUGCUUCCUCCACUGUUUGGACCCUGUUCAAUUUUUUUUUUUAAAGAAAAAAACUGUGGGAAAGAUGAGGGUGAGGGACACGGGGAGAGCAUUUCAGUGAUAAGCAAAAAAGGGACAGUGUCUGACUGUCCUUUCUUUUAUCUGGAAAUCCCCAUGUUACCAUUUUCUAUCUGAUUUCCGAAGCCACAAUUUGAACCUAAAAAUGUUGCAUCAUGAACAGAAACCGAGCCAAAGCCUCAGUGGUGACGUCACGUCAAAGAACACUGACGCUCUGGACGCACCAGAAAGUAACAACACCAUUAAAACAUUUCAGAUGGUUAUUAGGAUUAGCAGUGAGAAAUUGAAUGUUGAUAACAUAAUGGGUAAUGGAACCGUCGCUUAUUCUUAUUAGCAAACAGUUGCUAAUUUUAAAAUAAAGACUCUACUGGCAGAAGCGUGGAGGGAAUGAGGGAGGAAAAAAAACAUAUCAAGGGAGAUUAAAGGAAGGAAACCCAGGAAUAUCACAAUUUAAUUGUAAUUUGGGGAUUAUGACAAAUGAUGGGCACUUCAACCAAAGUCCAAAGUCAAACCUGCCCGCGUCCACGUAAGGCCUGACAUUUUAUACAGACCCAGGAGAGGGUUGUAGAGCUGUGCAGCUUCUCUGAGAGCACAAAACCUCUCUCAUUUCCUGAAAGCGCCUAGAAAUCUGAGACAGCACAGAUAACAAAAGUAGUCUUUUCAAAAACAGGAUUUUAAUAGAGGGUUUGGUCCUGUUUCUUAGAAGCACACUUUUUUGUGAAUAACAUUUAUUUAUUUAUAUAUAUAUAUAUAUAUAUAUAUA
ensembl:lncRNA